UCUGGAGCAUACUCUUAGGUAUAGCUGCUAAUUACUUCAAAGACUAUUAUAACAGUAUCCGUUUAUGUCCACGCAUAAGACGGUGGCGGAGCGAAACCGCGAUACUGUACGCUCUCGAAGACCGGUUAGCGAUAACCGGUCCGAAGAGAAAAGUUCUUUGACAGAUUUAAGGAUGAGAAAAGGGGUCUUUCCUGUAAAGGAGAGACGAUAAAGAAAGUAAGCAAGGGCGCACGGGGGAUGCCUAGGCUCUUGGAGGCGAAGAAGGACGUGUUAAGCUGCGAAAAGCUUCGGGGAUUGGCAAAAACGAAUUGAUCCGAAGAUAUC
rnacentral:misc_RNA from 1 species